AUCUACAGCCAUACCACCCUGAACGCGCCCGAGCUCGUCUGAUCUCGGAAGCUAAGCAGGGUCGGGCCUGGUUAGUACUUGGAUGGGAGGAUUUAUGAGGCAUCACACCUAGUUAGUAAGCAGAACUGGCGUUGAAC
ensembl:rRNA 5S_rRNA 5S ribosomal RNA